GACGAACGCUGGCGGCGUGCUUAACACAUGCAAGUCGAACGGAAAGGCCCUGCUUGUGGGGUGUGCUCGAGUGGAGAACGGGUGAGUAACACGUGAGUAACCUGCCCUUCACUUUGGUAUAACUUCAGGAAACUGGGUCUAAUACCGGAUAGGAGCUCCUGCUGCAUUGGGUGUUUUGGAAAGUUUCGGCGGUUGGGGAUGGACUCGCGGCUUAUCAGCUUGUUGGUGGGGUAGUGGCUUACCAAGGCUUUGACGGGUAGCCGGCCUGAGAGGGUGACCGGCCACAUUGGGACUGAGAUACGGCCCAGACUCCUACGGGAGGCAGCAGUGGGGAAUAUUGCACAAUGGGCGGAAGCCUGAUGCAGCAACGCCGCGUGCGGGAUGACGGCCUUCGGGUUGUAAACCGCUUUCGCCAGUGACGAAGCGUGAGUGACGGUAAUGGGUAAAGAAGCACCGGCUAACUACGUG
rnacentral:rRNA from 1 species